rnacentral:rRNA from 1 species
AUUGAGUUUGAUCCUGGCUCAGGAUGAACGCUGGCGGCGUGCCUAAUACAUGCAAGUCGAACGAGGUGCUUGAGUAGCAAUACAAGAGUAUCCUAGUGGCGAACGGGUGAGUAACGCGUGGAUGACCUGCCCCAAAGUGUGGGAUAACAGUCCGAAAGGAUUGCUAAUACCUCAUGUGGUUAUUGGAUUUAGAAACUGAUAACUAAAGCAGCAAUGCGCUUUGGGAGGGAUCUGCGUCCCAUCAGCUAGUUGGUGAGGUAACGGCUCACCAAGGCUACGACGGGUAGGGGACCUGAGAGGGUGGCCCCCCACAAUGGAACUGAAACACGGUCCAUACACCUACGGGUGGCAGCAGUAGGGAAUAUUGCUCAAUGGGCGAAAGCCUGAAGCAGCAACGCCGCGUGUGCGAUGAAGGCCUUCGGGUCGUAAAGCACUUUUCUGAGAGAUGAGAAAGGACAGUAUCUCAGGAAUAAGUCUCGGCUAACUACGUGCCAGCAGCCGCGGUAAAACGUAGGAGGCGAGCGUUAUCCGGAUUCACUGGGCGUAAAGCGCGUGCAGGCGGCUCGGUAAGUUGGGCGUGAAAUCUCCUGGCUUAACUAGGAGAGGUCGUUCAAUACUACCGGGCUUGAGAGUGGUAGAGGAAGAUGGAAUUCCAGGUGUAGUGGUGAAAUGCGUAGAUAUCUGGAGGAACACCAGUGGCGAAAGCGAUCUUCUGGACCAUUUCUGACGCUCAGACGCGAAAGCUAGGGUAGUAAACGGGAUUAGAGACCCCGGUAAUCCUAGCCGUAAACGAUGUAAACUUGGCGUCGGUGGCUUAAACUCCAUCGGUGCCGCAGCUAACGCGAUAAGU